rnacentral:lncRNA from 1 species
CCGGGAGGAGCUGAGAGCCACACGUUCAAGUAGAGUUCAGGCCUGAUGGGCAGAGCUCCCUAUGCAGCCCGAAGACAGCACAAAUCCACCGCAACAGACAUGCCUUCUCGUCCUUCAUCACUCUGUAAUCAAAUAGCACGUUAAAGCAACAAGUAACCCAGGAUGGGGCUGGUGCGGAGAGGGGCUCUGCUCCAGAAGGAGCUGCAGGGCGGGAGGUUGGAUGCUGCUCCAUAGGAAAUUUGGCCACUGAGGGCUGCCUGGAGAGGAGACCGCACGUGACCAGCCAAACCCAGCCCUGCUUCUGGCACCCGGCUCUGCAGUAGGGCCCACCCUUGUAUUCCCAAUCUUUAAUAAACCCCAAACAACCGUUGCUUACUCCA